UGGGGUGUGGCUCAGUUGGUAGAGUGCUUACUUAGGAUGCAGGAAGUGUGGGUUAGAUUCCCAACACCACAU
rnacentral:tRNA from 1 species